CCUACGGGAGGCAGCAGUGAGGAAUAUUGGGCAAUGGGCGCGAGCCUGAACCAGCCAAGUAGCGUGAAGGAUGACUGCCCUACGGGGUGUAAACUGCUGUUAUAAAGGAAUAAAGUGAGGCACGUGUGCCUUUUUGUAUGUACUUUAUGAAUAAGGAUCGGCUAACUCCGUGCCAGCAGCCGCGGUAAUACGGAGGAUCCGAGCGUUAUCCGGAUUUAUUGGGGUUAAAGGGAGCGUAGAUGGGUUGUUAAGUCAGUUGUGUAAGUUUGCGGCUCAACCGUAAAAUUGCCAUUGUUACUGGCAGUCUUGAGUACAGUUGAGGUAGGCGGCCUUCGUGGUGUAGCGG
rnacentral:rRNA from 1 species